UACGUAGGGGGCGAGCGUUGUCCAGAUUUAUUGGGCGUAAAGAGCGUGUAGGCGCCAGGUAGGUCCGUUGUGAAAACUCGAGGCUCAACCUCGAGACGUCGAUGGAAACCAUCUGGCUAGAGUCCGGAAGAGGAGAGUGGAAUUCCUGGUGUAGCGGUGAAAUGCGCAGAUAUCAGGAAGAACACCUAUGGCGAAGGCAGCUCUCUGGACGGUACUGACGCUGAGACGCGAAAGCGUGGGAGCGAACAGG
rnacentral:rRNA from 1 species